rnacentral:rRNA from 1 species
AUCAACUUUCGAUGGUAGGAUAGAGGCCUACCAUGGUGGUAACGGGUAACGGGGUGUUAGGGCACGACACCGGAGAGGGAGCCUGAGAAACGGCUACCACAUCCAAGGAUGGCAGCAGGCGCGCAAAUUACCCAAUCCCGACACGGGGAGGUAGUGACAAUAAAUAACAAUACGGGGUCCUUUCGGGUUUCGUAAUUGGAAUGAGUACAAUUUAAAUCUCUUAACGAGGAACAAUUGGAGGGCAAGUCUGGUGCCAGCAGCCGCGGUAAUUCCAGCUCCAAUAGCGUAUAUUAAAGUUGUUGCAGUUAAAAAGCUCGUAGUUGAAUUUCGGGAUUAGUACGCUGGUCGUGCCUUCGGUAUGUACUGGUGUUACUGGUUCCUACCUUCUGACGAACCGUCAUGUCAUUAAUUUGGUGUGGCGGGAAAUCAGGACUGUUACUUUGAAAAAAUUAGAGUGUUUAAAGCAGGCUCGCGCUUGAAUACAUUAGCAUGGAAUAAUGAAAUAGGACGUUUGAUCCUAUUUUGUUGGUUUCUAGGAUUGACGUAAUGAUUAAUAGGGAUAGUUGGGGGCAUUAGUAUUCAAUUGUCAGAGGUGAAAUUCUUGGAUUUAUUGAAGACUAACUACUGCGAAAGCAUUUGCCAAGGAUGUUUUCAUUAAUCAAGAACGAAAGUUAGGGGAUCGAAGACGAUCAGAUACCGUCGUAGUCUUAACCAUAAACUAUGCCGACUAGGGAUCGGAUGAUGUUAUUUUUAAUGACUCAUUCGGCGCCUUACGGGAAACCAAAGUGUUUGGGUUC